rnacentral:rRNA from 1 species
GUGGGGAAUCUUCCGCAAUGGACGAAAGUCUGACGGAGCAACGCCGCGUGAGUGAUGACGGCCUUCGGGUUGUAAAGCUCUGUGAUCGGGGACGAAUGGCUGGUAUGCUAAUACCAUAUCAGAGUGACGGUACCCGAAUAGCAAGCCACGGCUAACUACGUGCCAGCAGCCGCGGUAAUACGUAGGUGGCAAGCGUUGUCCGGAAUUAUUGGGCGUAAAGCGCGCGCAGGCGGCUUCUUAAGUCCAUCUUAAAAGUGCGGGGCUUAACCCCGUGAUGGGAUGGAAACUGGGAGGCUGGAGUAUCGGAGAGGAAAGUGGAAUUCCUAGUGUAGCGGUGAAAUGCGUAGAGAUUAGGAAGAACACCGGUGGCGAAGGCGACUUUCUGGACGACAACUGACGCUGAGGCGCGAAAGCGUGGGGAGCAAACAGGAUUAGAUACCCCUGUAGUCC